CGGACGGGUGAGUAACGCGUGGGUAACCUGCCUCAUACAGGGGGAUAACGGUUAGAAAUGACUGCUAAUACCGCAUAAGCGCACAGUACCGCAUGGUACGGUGUGAAAAACUCCGGUGGUAUGAGAUGACCCGCGUCUGAUUAGCUGUUGGUGAGGUAACGGCCCACCAAGGCGACGAUCAGUAGCCGACCUGAGAGGGUGACCGGCCACAUUGGGACUGAGACACGGCCCAG
rnacentral:rRNA from 1 species